UGGAAUGGAUAAAAUGCGCGUUGCGGUCACUCUACAAGUCAGUCCAAAUUGUCGUAAUCAAGAUGGAGUUUGAAACUAUCCAACGUCCCGCAGGUUCCGAAUACCCGAAGAUCUAUAAAGAGUUCGAAGGGAAGCUGUUAAAGGAUGGCAAACGCCAGAAAUACUGGAUCCAGGAUCUCAACGAGGAAUACUUUGAGGAAGUCGUCAAGAGUCACAUCGAAGGUUUCAUUUAGGAUGAACCAUGAAGAAAUAUUCAAGUACGCACUUUUAAAUUUGCGAGAAAGAUCCAGCUUGCUUCGCCGAAUGGGCCAAAUUAUUGAUGUCUUUCAUGAAAGAAAAAGUCAGUUUGAUCUGUUUGACUAAAGACGAUGAGGGCAACUGCCAUCACGUAACACAUAAAAAAGAAGAAAUUAAAGCAGACUCUGAAGCAGUGAAGAAGUUCUUAAAACUCAUGCAAUAUGUCUGCGAUCAGAGGGACAUUUAAGAUAGAUAGGUACUUAUACGGACAAGAUAUUUUGGACACAAGAGAAGAUUUAGGUAAACUCCUUAGGUUUAAAGCCAAUCUGACUGCUUACAUUUCGUGUAUAUCCCAGAAGCAAGUUGGCAAGCUGAUUUGGUCAAAGUCGACA